ACAGGCUUAACACAUGCAAGUCGAGGGGCAGCAUGGUCUUAGCUUGCUAAGGCCGAUGGCGACCGGCGCACGGGUGAGUAACACGUAUCCAACCUGCCGUCUACUCUUGGACAGCCUUCUGAAAGGAAGAUUAAUACAAGAUGGCAUCAUGAGUUCACAUGUUCACAUGAUUAAAGGUAUUCCGGUAGACGAUGGGGAUGCGUUCCAUUAGAUAGUAGGCGGGGUAACGGCCCACCUAGUCUUCGAUGGAUAGGGGUUCUGAGAGGAAGGUCCCCCACAUUGGAACUGAGACACGGUCCAAACUCCUACGGGAGGCAGCAGUGAGGAAUAUUGGUCAAUGGGCGCAGGCCUGAACCAGCCAAGUAGCGUGAAGGAUGACUGCCCUAUGGGUUGUAAACUUCUUUUAUAAAGGAAUAAAGUCGGGUAUGUAUACCCGUUUGCAUGUACUUUAUGAAUAAGGAUCGGCUAACUCCGUGCCAGCAGCCGCGGUAAUACGGAGGAUCCGAGCGUUAUCCGGAUUUAUUGGGUUUAAAGGGAGCGUAGAUGGAUGUUUAAGUCAGUUGUGAAAGUUUGCGGCUCAACCGUAAAAUUGCAGUUGAUACUGGAUAUCUUGAGUGCAGUUGAGGCAGGCGGAAUUCGUGGUGUAUCGGUGAAAUGCUUAGAUAUCACGAAGAACUCCGAUUGCGAAGGCAGCCUGCUAAGCUGCAACUGACAUUGAGGCUCGAAAGUGUGGGUAUCAAACAGGAUUAGAUACCCUGAUAUUCCACACGGUACACGAUGAAUACUCGCUGUUUGCGAUAUACGGCAAGCGGCCAAGCGAAAGCGUUAAGUAUUC
rnacentral:rRNA from 1 species